CGUGCACAGGGCUCUGACCUAUGAAUUGACAGCCAGUACUCUCUUCUGUCCUCUGGCUGCCAAUUCCAUAGGUCACAGGUAUGUUCACC
rnacentral:miRNA from 1 species